rnacentral:rRNA from 1 species
AGUGAACGCUGGCGGUAGGCCUAACACAUGCAAGUCGAACGGCAGCACAGUAAGAGCUUGCUCUUACGGGUGGCGAGUGGCGGACGAGUGAGGAAUACAUCGGAAUCUACUUUUUCGUGGGGGAUAACGUAGGGAAACUUACGCUAAUACCGCAUACGACCUACGGGUGAAAGCAGGGGAUCUUCGGACCUUGCGCGAUUGAAUGAGUCGAUGUCGGAUUAGCUAGUUGGCGGGGUAAAGGCCCACCAAGGCGACGAUCCGUAGCUGGUCUGAGAGGAUGAUCGGCCACACUGGAACUGGGACACGGUCCAGACUCCUACGGGAGGCAGCAGUGGGGAAUAUUGGACAAUGGGCGCAAGCCUGAUCCAGCCAUACCGCGUGGGUGAAGAAGGCCUUCGGGUUGUAAAGCCCUUUUGUUGGGAAAGAAAAGCAGCAGGUUAAUACCCCGCUGUUCUGACGGUACCCAAAGAAUAAGCACCGGCUAACUUCGUG